rnacentral:rRNA from 1 species
UACGUAGGGUCCGAGCGUUGUCCGGAAUUAUUGGGCGUAAAGAGCUCGUAGGCGGUCUGUCGCGUCUGCUGUGAAAACUCGGGGCUUAACCCCGGGCCUGCAGUGGGUACGGGCAGACUAGAGUGCGGUAGGGGAGACUGGAAUUCCUGGUGUAGCGGUGAAAUGCGCAGAUAUCAGGAGGAACACCGGUGGCGAAGGCGGGUCUCUGGGCCGUAACUGACGCUGAGGAGCGAAAGCGUGGGGAGCAAACAGG